AGAUGAUUCUUGUGAAGCCAUAACGCAGAAGCAUAAAACCCUUCUUUAUCUGAUUUACCAGUACCUCUCACACCUCUCAAGUUACAUAUCAACUUCAAAGUUGUUAACGGAUCUCGUUUAGAACCCUUUACUCGGUUGAUUCAAGUUUGUUGCAGAAUACGAGGAGUAUGAGUGUGCAAAGCUAAUGAAGGGUUUAAUAAGUGGUUCUUCCUCCUCCUCCUCAAUUAAUUCCUGAUUUGAAAUCCAAACUAAUUUUCAGAUUUAUUUGGUGAUCUUAGUACUUAUUUCAUCAUCGUAGAUGAUGAUUGAAGAAGAAGGUCAAUAUGAACAGCUUUUGGUGAUGAUGAUGUUAUAUGAAGAACAAGGUCACGUGAAGAACAUGGAAUUGGGCUGGGAUUCAUCGUCGAUUUUGAAAAGAAUAGAACUCGUUUCUUGAGACCAUAAAUGGCUUUGU